rnacentral:rRNA from 1 species
GAUGAACGCUGGCGGCGUGCCUAAUACAUGCAAGUCGAGCGAGCGGACGAGAAGCUUGCUUCUCUGAUGUUAGCGGCGGACGGGUGAGUAACACGUGGAUAACCUACCUAUAAGACUGGGAUAACUUUGAGAAACCGCAGCUAAUACCGCGUGAUAUUUUGAACCGCAUGGUUCAAAAGUGAAAUACGGUCUUGCUGUUCCUUAUAGCUGGCUCCCCGCUGCAUUAGCUAGUUGGUAACGUAACGGCUUACCAAGGCAACGAUGCCUAGCCGACCUGCGAGGGUGAUCGGCCACACUGGAACUGAGACACGGUCCAGACGCCUACGGGAGGCCGCAGUAGGGACUCUUCCGCAAUGGGCGAAAGCGUGACGGAGCAACGCCGCGUGAGUGAUGAAGGCCGUGCGAUCGUAAAACGCGGUUAGUAGGGAAGAACAGAUGUGUAAGUACCUGUGCACAUCUUGACGGUACCUAAUCAGAAAGCCACGGCUAACUACGUG